ACUGUUUUAUGAGCUCAUUCUAGAGGAGAAACCUAUCCCUGUGCUCAGGUUCUUCAGGAGCACCUCACUGUCUCCCUCUGCCCACCCACCUGCACCUGACGACUGUGGGCUGCGCUCUCCUGGAAGCACCGUCAGAUGCUACCAGACUACAGAGGAGAGUGCCCUUAAUCCUGACUGAAGUUUUGGGAAAAGGCUUCUCAGAAGAGGUAAUACUUGAUACAGGCCCUGGAGGAGGAGGAACAGUUUGAGAAGAGAGCAGUGAGAGAUGGCAUCCGGGUGGGUAAGAAAUGCGAAGGGAAGAGAGGUCAUCCAAGACAAAAGUACAGAAUGAAAAGAAAAAGCAACUAAGCAUGAAAUCUUGGAGAAUGUCCUCAUUGAAGGGUCCUGAGCACCAAGGGUACAGUCAGAAAUGAUGAGUCCAGAAAUGAUGCCCUCCAGAACGUCCGGUGAAGAAGGCACUCAGGAAAAUGCAGCACCUGCUGGAGGCCCAAAAAGGAGGGCAAUCAGGAAGAACACAGUCUGAUGGUGUCAAGUGCAGUGGAGGCUAAGAGCCUCAGUGCCUCCUUCAGAGAUGGGGUAAGUAUUUAUUAGCUUCUGUUGCAUCCUUCAUACAGAACCUGGUGCUGAGAGACAGCUUCUUCUUUUUUGUUUGUUUGUUUGUUUGUUAAGACCAGUCAAGUACAGUACCGAGAAGAGGGGAAAGAGUAGAACAAAGAAUUGGAUCUGUAACUGACUGUGAACAGUCAAUUGAGGUAACUCAUUACCUUCGAACCAACCUGGGAGGCAGCCUUGUGACUCACCUCAGUCCUCAGUCUUCUCAGCUUGUUCACUUUGGCCUGGCUCAGAGGCUGACCUAGAAUGAUUCUGUCUAGAAGGACCCUGGAUGUUCUUAGAGACACAGACUGCUGGGGCUGGAAGGGACUUUUCAUCCAAUUCCUCUGUGACAGAGGAGGAAGUAGAGGUUCGGAAGGAGAGGUGAGCUGCCUGUGCUCCUUUAGCUAAAGGCAGUGUUAGGACUGGACCUGAGGGCUCUUCCCUCCAGUCCAGCGCUAUUUAUUCCAUGGCAGUGCCUCUCAAACCAUGUUCUCACAAGCAGCCAGUGCUCAGGCAGCUGGACUGAGGCCCUGCCUGCCAAAUCAAAUAUUGGAGGUCCAAUGUACAGAAAAAAAAAUUAAUUAAUGGGUUAAGUUUCCUUAGGGUUAAAUGAUUUUUCCAUUAAUACUUCUUAAACCAUUGUCACCUGUUAUUAAUUGUCUACUAGCCAAUGCAAGAAGGCAACAAAACAAAAGGAUAAGCCACAAAUAAAUAAGAACAAGAACAACCAAAGCCUUGGAAACACACCAUCAUUCUUAAGUUAAAGGCUUUAAAAAAAAAUAAAAAUAGAAGAAGACUGCUAUGACUAUGGACUUUCUAUUGCAUUCACAUAAUAAAAUCAUGCAUUCUACUAGCGACAUUGUUUUGAAUUCAAA